rnacentral:rRNA from 1 species
AGUGUGAAGGCCCAGACAGACAGGAGGUUGGCUUAGAAGCAGCCACCCUUUAAAGAAAGCGUUAUAGCUCACUGGUCGAGUCGGCCUGCACGUAAGAUUUAACGGGGCUAAGCUAUGCACUGAAGUUGCGGAAUUUAUUUAGUAUAUUGGUAGGGGAGCGUUCUGUAAUCCGAUGAAUGUGUAUUGAGAAGUUUGCUGGAGGUAUCAGAAGUGCUAAUGCUGACAUGAGUAACGU